rnacentral:rRNA from 1 species
GACGAACGCUGGCGGCGUGCUUAACACAUGCAAGUCGAGCGGAAAGGCCCUUCGGGGUACUCGAGCGGCGAACGGGUGCGUAACACGUGAGUAACCUGCCCCAGACUUUGGGAUAACCCUCGGAAACGGGGGCUAAUACCGGAUACGACACAGCUUCGCAUGGGGUCUGUGUGGAAAGUUUUUCGGUUUGGGAUGGGCUCGCGGCCUAUCAGCUUGUUGGUGGGGUGAUGGCCUACCGAGGCGACGAAGGGUAGCCGGCCUGAGAGGGCGACCGGCCACCAGGGGACUGAGACACGGAGCAGACUCCAACGGGAGGCAGCAGUGGGGAGUAUUGCACAAUGGGCGGAAGCCUAUUGAGGCGACGCCGCGUGAGGGAUGACGGCCUUCGGGUUGUAAACCUCUUUCAGCAGGGACGAAGCGUAAGUGACGGUACCUGCAGAAGAAGCGCCGGCCAACUACGUG